rnacentral:rRNA from 1 species
GGCUUGAUCCGUUCAGAUUGUUGAACGCUGGUUAAGGAUGCUUUACACAUGCAGUCAACGGCAGCACGGACUUCGGUCUGGUGGCGAGUAAGAAACGGGGUGAGUAAUGUAUCGGAACGUGCCUAGUAGCGGGGAGAACUACGCGAAAGAAGCAUUACUGCAAAUGCCACUUCUGGGGAAAGCGGGGGACCUUCGGGCCUCGCACUAUUAGAGCGGCCGAUAUCGGAUUAGCUGCCAGGUGGUAAUCGGCUCACCAAGUUAUGACGAUCCAGCUGGUCGAGACACCCAGCCACACUGGGACGAGACACGCCCAGACUCCUACGGGAGGCAGCAGUGGGGAAUUCUUGGACAAUGGGAAACCUGAUCCAGCCAUCCCGCGUGCGAUGAAGGCUCGGGUUGUAAAGCACUUUUAAGAGAGAAACGGCAUCGAUAAUACCCCGUGCAACUGACGGUACCUGCAGAAUAAGCACCGGCUAACUACGUGCCAGCAGCCAGUAGAAUACGCGUAGGGUGCAAGCGUUAAUCGGAAUUACUGGGCGUAAAGCGUGCGCAGGCGGUUCGGAAAGAAAGAUGGGAAAUCCCAGAGCUUAACUUUGAAACUACUUUUAAUCUACCGAGCUAGAGUGUGUCAGAGGAGGUGGAAUUCCGCGUGUAGCAGUGAAAUGCGUAGAUAUGCGGAGGAACACCGAUGGCGAAGGCAGCCUCCUGAUAACACCGACGCUCAUGCACGAAAGUGUGGGGAGCAAAACAGGAUUAGAUAUUCUGGUAGUCCACGCCCUAAACGAUGUCACCGAUACAAAUGGGCCUUGGUAGCGGUGCUAACGCAGGAAGCGAAUACCUGGGGAGUACGGUCGCAAGAUUAAAACUCAAAGGAAUUGACGGGGACCCGCACAGGAAAGCGGUGGAUGAUGUGAUUUAAUUCGAUGCAAAUGUUAGCGAAAACCUUACCUACCCUUGACAUGCUGAAUCCCGAAGAGAUUUGGUGCUCGCAAGAGAACCGGUUACAGGUGUUGCAUGGCUGUCGUCAGCUCGUGUCGUGAGAUGUUGGGUUGUCCCAACGAGCGCAACCCUUGUCAUUAGUUGCUACGAAAGGGUACUCUAUCGAGACUGCCAGACAAACCGGAGGAAGGUGGGGCUGACGUCAAGUCCAUACUAUGGUAGGGGCUUCACACGUCAUACAAUUGUCGGGACAGAGGGUCGCCAACCCGCGAGGGGACAAUCCCAGAAACCCGAUCGUAGUCUGAUCGUAGUCUGCAACUCGACUGCGUGGAAGUUGGAAUCGCUAGUAAUCGCGGAUCAGCAUGUCGCGUAGUGAACAUGUUCCUGGGUCUUGUACACACCUGCCCGUCACACCAUGGAGUGGGGUUUUACCAGAAGUAGUUAGCUCAACUGGUAGGGCGAUUACCACGGUAGGGAUUCAUGACUAAAGUGAAUGUAACAAGGCAA